GUAGUAGCAAAGCACGUGCUUUCUCGUGGGCUUGCAUCAUUCUCGUCUUAUGUCAUUCCAUCAUGAACGAUCUGGCGCGCGAUACGAGCUAGUCUUUUGAUCAGCGGCCACUUUUCCUACUUAUCAGCUCGAUGACGUUUCUUGAAAUCUUAUUUAUCGGACUCAACGUCGAGACGGAGCAUAACGUGGUGAGGAAAUGCUUCACGAGCAAAAAGAGCCCACAGCGAGUCUCUCGAAGAGAGAUAUCUUGCUUACAUCAUUUAUCUCAGGUGCCCU